rnacentral:rRNA from 1 species
GGUUAAGUGACUAAGCGUACAUGGUGGAUGCCUUGGCAGUCAGAGGCGAUGAAGGACGUACUAACCUGCGAUAAGCCGUGAGCAGUCGGUAAGAGACAUUACGACUCACGGAUUUCCGAAUGGGGAAACCCACUUAGCAUAAGCUAGGUAUCGCUGCGUGAAUACAUAGCGUAGCGAGGCGAACCGGGAGAACUGAAACAUCUAAGUACCCCGAGGAAAAGAAAUCAACCGAGAUUCCCUCAGUAGCGGCGAGCGAACGGGGAUUAGCCCUUAAGCAUCUUGGAAGUUAGUGGAACGGUCCUGGAAAGGCCGGCGAUACAGGGUGAUAGCCCCGUACACGAAAACAACCUUGAUGUGAAAUCGAGUAGGGCGGGACACGUGACAUCCUGUCUGAAUAUGGGGGGACCAUCCUCCAAGGCUAAAUACUCCUGACUGACCGAUAGUGAACCAGUACCGUGAGGGAAAGGCGAAAAGAACCCCUGUGAGGGGAGUGAAAUAGAACCUGAAACCGUGUACGUACAAGCAGUGGGAGCCCUUCGGGGUGACUGCGUACCUUUUGUAUAAUGGGUCAGCGACUUACAUUUUGUAGCGAGGUUAACCGUAUAGGGGAGCCGUAGGGAAACCGAGUCUUAACUGGGCGUCUAGUUGCAAGGUGUAGACCCGAAACCGGGUGAUCUAGCCAUGGGCAGGUUGAAGGUUGAGUAACAUCAACUGGAGGACCGAACCCACUAACGUUGCAAAGUUAGGGGAUGACCUGUGGCUGGGGGUGAAAGGCCAAUCAAACUCGGAGAUAGCUGGUUCUCCCCGAAAGCUAUUUAGGUAGCGCCUCGGACGAAUACUACUGGGGGUAGAGCACUGUUUGGGCUAGGGGGUCAUCCCGACUUACCAACCCCAUGCAAACUCCGAAUACCAGUAAGUACUAUCCGGGAGACACACGGCGGGUGCUAACGUCCGUCGUGAAGAGGGAAACAACCCAGACCGCCGGCUAAGGUCCCAAAGUUCUGGUUAAGUGGGAAACGAUGUGGGAAGGCUCAGACAGCUAGGAUGUUGGCUUAGAAGCAGCCAUCAUUUAAAGAAAGCGUAAUAGCUCACUAGUCGAGUCGGCCUGCGCGGAAGAUGUAACGGGGCUCAAACCAGGCACCGAAGCCGCGGAUUCACGCUAAGCGUGAGUGGUAGGGGAGCGUUCUGUAAGUCUGCGAAGGUGU